rnacentral:pre_miRNA from 1 species
GUGACACCUCCAUGGAGCAGGACUUGUUUCAGUGUUUCUUUGCUGCUCACUGAGUCUGCCCCUUGAGUGUGUCACU